rnacentral:lncRNA from 1 species
CCGCGCUGGUCCCAAAGAGGAGCAUGAGCUCAGGGUUUGUUUCCGUCACCUGGAAGGCAAUCGUCAGAGCCUGCCAUGUGUGCAUGUGGAUGUCUCUGUGUAUUUUGAGAACACUUUUAAAAGGGAAGCAGCCAAAGUAUUUUUAUUGCUCAGCAGGCACUGUUUCAUGUUGGAGUGUUGGAAAGAAACAGAAGAGAAAGAAAAGAGAGGGAGGAGAAGAUUUAAGACCAGCGCACAGAUUGAAAUGGUUAAUGCGUUCUCGGGCUGGAGAACAAGCGCUCUGAGUACUGAAGACUCCUCCCAUCUCCACGUCUCCAAAUGUCCCCACGUAAAUUCCAGGAUCCACACAUCAGAGGCGCCUGCCACCGAGCUGGGCGUGAACUCUGAAGACCAGGUACGCCACUGGGGAUAUUUGCCCAGACGAGAAGUGCAGGGGUGAACCAGGUCUGAAUAUCACCAAGUCCAGAUCGGGACCUGCCGACCUCUUACUGCUGCCUCCUCCAAAUCCUGCAAAAGCCCCACACAUGGGAGAUGCUGAACAAGACUGUGAGAAUGAUAACGAAGGAUACAGAGGUAAGUGUGGGAAAUGUUGCCUUUGAGACCCCUGUGACACAUCCUGGUGGAAAUGUCAAUG